UACGGAGGGUGCAAGCGUUGUUCGGAAUCACUGGGCGUAAAGCGCGUGUAGGCGGCCAUCUAAGUCUGGUGUGAAAGCCCUGGGCUCAACCCAGGAAGUGCACUGGAUACUGGAUGGCUGGAGUACCGGAGAGGAGGGUGGAAUCCUGGUGUAGCGGUGAAUGCGUAGAUAUCUGGAGGAACACCGGUGGCGAAGGCGGCAUCCUGGACCGGCAUUGACGCUGAGGCGCGAAAGGCCAGGGGAGCAAACGGG
rnacentral:rRNA from 1 species